rnacentral:rRNA from 1 species
ACAGGCUUAACACAUGCAAGUCGAGGGGCAGCAUUUUAGUUUGCUUGCAAACUAAAGAUGGCGACCGGCGCACGGGUGAGUAACACGUAUCCAACCUGCCGAUAACUCGGGGAUAGCCUUUCGAAAGAAAGAUUAAUAUCCGAUAGUAUAUUAAAACCGCAUGGUUUUACUAUUAAAGAAUUUCGGUUAUCGAUGGGGAUGCGUUCCAUUAGUUUGUUGGCGGGGUAACGGCCCACCAAGACUACGAUGGAUAGGGGUUCUGAGAGGAAGGUCCCCCACAUUGGAACUGAGACACGGUCCAAACUCCUACGGGAGGCAGCAGUGAGGAAUAUUGGUCAAUGGACGAGAGUCUGAACCAGCCAAGUAGCGUGAAGGAUGACUGCCAUAUGGGUUGUAAACUUCUUUUAUAUGGGAAUAAAGUAUUCCACGUGUGGGAUUUUGUAUGUACCAUAUGAAUAAGGAUCGGCUAACUCCGUGCCAGCAGCCGCGGUAAUACGGAGGAUCCGAGCGUUAUCCGGAUUUAUUGGGUUUAAAGGGAGCGUAGGUGGAUUGUUAAGUCAGUUGUGAAAGUUUGCGGCUCAACCGUAAAAUUGCAGUUGAAACUGGCAGUCUUGAGUACAGUAGAGGUGGGCGG